GGGGCUGUAGCUCAGUGGCAGAGCACUUGCCUAGCAUGUGUGAGGCACUGGGCUUGAUCCUCAGCAUCACAUAAAAAAUAACAAAUAAAAUAAAGACAUUCUGUCCAUACACAACUGCAAAAAAAAAAAAAUUAAAAAAUAAUAAAAAUAAAAAUAAGGUAUGAGGUUAGGGCUGUGGCUCAAGAGGUAGAGUGCUUGCCUAGCAUGUGUGAGGCACUGGGUUUGAUUCUCAGCACCACA
rnacentral:tRNA from 1 species